rnacentral:lncRNA from 10 species
AAUUCUAGUACUAAAUUUGUACUGGGCGCUGGCGAAGGGCCUGGCUCCGCCACGCGCGGCCCUCUCGAACUGCCCGUGGGUACGGCGCGCGCUGCUGCCCUGUGUGGCCUGUGCGGGGAACCCGAGGGCCGAAGUGGGCCCCGCCGCAGCACAGGGGGACAAGAGAACCAGGAGCGGGCUGCCUGGGGGCAGAUUCGAACCCGUGCUCCCAGCGGAUAGAAGUAGCACUUGGGGACUCCUAAAAUAUUCAGCCCAAUCCUGAUUCCAGCUGCCCUCUCUAGGCACCUUUCCUCUACCCUUCUUCCAGUUUACAAUUCUGGGAGGAAUGGCCUACAGGGGCCAUGCAGGGGCUGCAUGGAGGAAUUGGUCAGUACACACAGAAGUGGAUGGCACUGGGCCAGGCACAGUGGCUCACACCUGUAAUCCCAGCACUUUGGGAAGCUGAGGUGGGUGGAUCGCCUGAGCCCAGGAGUUCGAGACCAGUCAAGACAACAUGACAAAACUCCACGUCUACUAAAAAUACAAAAACUAGCUGGGCAUGGUGGCAUGUGCCUGUAAUCCCAGCUACUUGGGAGGCUGAGGCAGGAGAAUCGCUUGAGGUGGAGGUUGCAGUGAGCCAAGAUAGUGCCCCUACACUCCAGCCUGGGUGACAGAGUGAGACUUUGUCUCAAAUAAAUAAAUAAAUAAGAAGUGGACUGCUGUGGUGUGAGAAUGCACCUGACAGACCUCCAAUUAUGGAGAGCUUACACAGCCAAGGGCCCCAACUGCUGCUCUCUGAAACUCAUCCUGCUUUUGUGCUGAGGCCACACUUCCCACAGGCUGCUCCAGCCAGUGACCAAGCACAGCAUGGACACUAAGACAGGCCCAUUCUGGGAGACGUGGGACUCCUCUGAUGGCCAACUUUGACUUGGGGACUCCCUGAUGGCCUUGCCAAACCUUUUUGAUAAAGCACUUUGGUCUAGGAAGCUUCUACCCGACCUUCCUUCCUCUCUCCUUCACUCAGGGUCAGACUUAUAAUGUGAUCUGACAGUUCCCCCAGCAUUUCCUGGCUCUUUCUCCUUUCCUUUCACAGGUGUUUCUCCUGAGAAAAUUCUUGCAUGUUUAAACCCAAUUUGAGGGAUUAUUGGGAAAAUUAUUGGGACCACUAUUGGAACAGUUGACAAACUGUCACUGGGGGUGUGUAGAUUAAAUGUCAGUAUCGUAUAAAUCCAUGUUAAUUUCCUGGUAGUGAUGACAGCACUGUGAUUAUAUAGGAGUGUGUCCUUGGUGUUUGGGAAUUACAUGGUGAAAUGUUUAGGAUAAUGGGGCAACUUACUUUCAAACGGUUCCCCAAAAAUUCUAGAUAGAUAGAUAGAUAGAUAGACAGACAGGCAGGCAGAGUGAGAAAGAAAGUGAGAAUGGUAAAACAAAUAUAUAUAAUGUUUUGUGGGGAGAAUGAAUAGGAGUUUUUUGUAGUAUUCUUACGACUUUUCCAUAAGUUUGAAAUUAUCAAAAAUAAAAAAUGUUUAAAACAUU